UGUAAGCUGCUCACCUCUAGCCUGCUUUCACCCAACUCCCAGCAUCUGUGUGGUGACUCCAUGCCUCUUGCCCUCACUGCGCUUCUCCUCUCAGAAUGAAUCCACAGCAACACAUAUGUUCUCCCUGAUCCAUGGUAACUAAUAGAGUACCUAAAAGGGAAUCUAUAGGAGUGAAAUUGACACUUUGAGAUUCUAUUAUUUGAACAGUUUUAUCUCAACUCCUGAGGCACAGUUUUUGUGUUGAACUCUUUCUUUAGUGUAGGGUUAAUCUUAUGUGUAUAAAAUUAAUUGAAAAUAUAUCUUAGUAGAAAAUAAGCAUGGGAAUAGGAGCAGAAAGAGAAAAAAGGGUGGAAGGGUUGGUAGAGUGGAAAAAAAUUACUAUGUUCCUAAAUUUCUAUUAUGAACUUUAUGAAGUUUUUAUACCUUAAAUUUAUUUUUUAAAAUUUAUUUAUUUGACAGGUAGAGUUAUAGACAGUGAGAGAGAGAGAGAGAGAGACAGAGAAAAAGGUCUUCUGUCCGCUGGUUCACUCCCCAAAUGGCCGCUAUGGCCGGCACUGCACAGAUCUGAAGCCAGGAGCCAGGAGCUUCUUCCUGGUCUCCCACGUGGGUGCAAGGGUCCAAGCACUUGGGCCAUCCUCCACUGCCUUUCUGGGCCACAGCAGAGAGCUGGACUGGAAAAGGAGCAACCAGGACUAGAACCCAGCACCCAUGUGGGAUGCUGGCACUGCAGGCAGAGGAUUAACCAAGUGAGCCACGGCAAUGGCCCCUAUAUGUUAAAUUUAAAAAAGUAAAAAUAAAUUUUAAAAGUUUAAAAAAAGAACUAAGCAUAAAUAUUACUUGUACCAAAAACCUCAAUGGAUCUCAAUGAUAUGAACUGUUACCUUUCUUUUGAUUUAUUUAUUUAUUUGUUUGUAUAUUGUAAAUACAACAUUAGGAACAUAGUAAUUCUUCCCACCAUGCCUGUCUUCCCAGUGAUUCUCCACUCCCCCCCCCACCUCUCCCCUCUGGUGUUUGGUCUGGGAAAGAAAAAAAAAAAAAACAGAAAGAAAAGAAAAGAGAGAAAGAGAGAAAGAGAGGAAGGAAGGAAGGAAGGAAGGAAGGAAGGAAGGAAGGAAGGAAGGAAGGAAGGAAGGAAGGAAGGGUAAGAAUGGAGUAAAAAAAAUUAAGAGAAUUGUUCCUCAACAGUCUAAAGAAGGGCUGUUCUUUGUUAUUGCUUCUUGAAGAUGUUUUUGCUUUUUUCCCCCUUCUUCUUUUCCCUUACUUCCUCUCCCUUCUUUCCUUUUUGAAACUUAAUUGUCUUUAAAGAAUAACCCAAGGAUGAUGCAUCUUUUGUAAGCUCUUAGACAUGACUAUACUUAUGAAACAUAGUAUUCAAUGUUUCAUACAAUACACUAAAGGUUAGUGAUUCAUUUUUAAGAUUUAUUUAUUUUAUUUGAAAGGCAGAGUUAUAAAGAGGCUGAGGUAGAAAAAGAAGAGAGAAAGAGAGAGAGAUAGGUCUGCUGGUUGCUGGUUCACUCUCCAAUUGGCCACAAUGGCUGGAGCUGCACCUAUCCGAAGCCAGGAGCCAGUAGCUUCUUUCAGGUCUCCCAUACGGGUGCAGGGGCUCAAGUACUUAGACCAUCUUCCACUGCUUUCCCAGGCCAUAUCAGAGAGAUAGAUCAGAAGUGGAGUAGCCAGAAGUUGAACCAGCACCCAUAUGGGAUGCUGGCACUGCAGUGGGCAGCUUUACCCACUAUGCCACAGCACCAGCCCCAAGGAAGUGAUUCUUGAGAAAAAGUUUUAUUAUUAAGUCUCAUGAUACAAUUUUUUGUGGACAGAGGUUCUGCAUGGGAAGUUAGUGCACAGUGACUCUUUUUUAUUUAACAAAUAACACUCAUAUAUGACAUCGUUGAUCAUCAAAGGUUCUUGGCAUGAGCUGACUCAGCUAUGGAAGCCUUUUGGAUCCAGUAGCUCAACAAGGCCAUAAGCAAAGUGGAAGUUCUCUCCUCCCUUCAGAGAAAAGCACCUCCUUCUUUGGUGGCAACUUCUUUCCACUGGGUUCUCAACUGCAGGAGUCCCUUAUGUUAGACUUUUUUUUUUCCCCAGAGUGCUUUGGCUUUCCAUGCUUGAAAUGCUCCCACUGGGCUUUCCAGGCAGACUGGAAUGCCUUAAGGGCCAAUUCUGAGGUUAGAGUGCAACUUAAAGUGAUUGUCAUUCUAUGAGUCACUGUAUGGACUGCUUCCCAUGAUGGAGCCUUCACUCCUUUUUAAUUCUAUUUUUGUUUCCAAACACUUGGUUCUAUUAAUGUGAUCACUUUAACUCUUGAUCGUAUGUAUAAGAUCACUUUACCACUUGUUCCUAUUCAUUUGAUCUUUGUAACACUUAAGCUGCUAUUUUUAUCAGUCAACUUAAGGGAUUUUGGAGUCUUACGGCUAGUUGUUAGGUUGUACCCUUAGAAGUAGGUCCAUAUGAAUAUAUGUAGGACUAUACUGCUUUGCAGUUGCAUACUUCAUACAUUUCACAAUUACAACUUUAUGAUCUUGGUGAUUCUUCCCACUGUGCCCACCCUCCUGCCCUCACUCCCACCCGCCUCUUCUUCCCUUUCUUAGUCUCACACUUAUUCUUUACUAAGAUUUAUUUUCAAUUAACUUUAUAUGUAUAUGAUUAACUAUGUUAAGUAUAGCAUUCAAUGAAUCAUAUGAAAGAGAAAAAGAUAAGAAAAAUAUGAUAAAAGAAAAGAUAAACAAAGAUAUAGAAUAAGAGCUUUCCUCAACAAUCAAGAGGAGAGCUGUUCAUAAUCAUUGCUUCUCUAAGUGUCAAUUUUGUUUCUACAUGUUGUCUUUUAGGUGCUCUAUUAGUUAUCCCAUGUCAGGGAAAACAUAUAAAAUUUGUCCCUUUGGGGCUGGCUUAUUUCACUAAGUAUGAUAUUUUCCAAUUUCAUCCAUUUUGUUGUGAUGAUCAGAUUUCUUUUUGUGGUUUUUACUGCUGUAUAUUAUUCUAUGAUGUUCAUAUCCCAUAAUUUCUUUUUCCAUCCUUCAGUUGACAGGCAUUAGGGUUGAUUCCAUGUCUUUGCUAUUGUGAAUUGAGCUGUGAUAAAUAUGGAGGUACAGAUAACUCUUCCAUAUUCUGAUUUCAUUUCCCUUGGGUAGAUUCCCAGAAGUGGGAUGGCUGGGUCAUGUCUAUAUUCAGACCUCUGAGGUAUCUCCGCAUUUUCUUCCAUAAUGGCUGUACCAGUUUACAUUCCCACCAAUAGUGAAUUAGUGUGCCUUUUUUCCCACAUCCUUACCAGCAUUUGCUGUUUAUUGAAUUCUGUAUGAAAUUCAUUCUAACUGGGGUGAAGUGAAACCUCACUGUGAUUUUGAUUUGCAUUUUUUAUGUGUCUGUUGGCCAUUUGGAUUUCCUUUUCUUAAAAAUGUCUGUUUAAGUCCUUUGCCCAUUUCCUAACUGGAUUGUUUGUUUUGUUGUUGUUGAGUUUCUUGAUCUUUUUGUAUAUUUUGGUUAUUAAUCCUUUAUCAGUUGUAUAGUUUGCAAAUAUUUCCUACCAUUCCAUUGGUUGUCUCUUCACUUUGCUGAUUGUUUCUUUUGAAGUACACAGACUUUUCAGUUUGCUAUAAUCUCAUUUGCGGAUUUUGGCUUUGAUUGCCUGUGCCUCUGGGGUCUUUUCCAAAAGUGCUUUGUCUAUGCUGAUGUCUUAUAGGAUUUCCCCCAAGUUCUCUAAUAAUUUGGUGGUGUCAGGUUAUAGAUUUAGGUCUUUAAUCCAUUUUGAGUAGAUUUUCGUGCAAGGUGUCAGGUAAAGGUUUCUGCUUCUUCAUGUGGAGAUCCAGUUUUCCAAGCCCAUUUGUUGAAGAGACUGCCCUUGCUCCAAGAGUUGAUUUUAGCUCCUUUGUCAAAGAUAAGUUGGUUAUAGAUGCUUGGAUUGAUUUCAGGUGUUUCUAUUCUGUUCCAUUUGUCUACCCAUCCCUUUUUGUACCAGUACUAGGCUAUUUUGAUUAUAACUGCCCUGUAGUAUAUCUUUUUUUUUUUUUUUUUGACAGGCAGAGUGGACAGUGAGAGAGAGAGAGAGAGACAGAGAGGAAGGUCUUCCUUUUACCAUUGGUUCACCAUCCAAUGGCCGCUGCGGCCGGCAUGCUGCAGCCGGCGCACCACGCUGAUCCAAAGGCAGGAGCCAGGUGCUUCUCCUGGUCUCCCAUGGGGUGCAGGGCCCAAGGACUUGAGCCAUUCUCCACUGCACUCCCAGGCCACAGCAGAGAGCUGGACUGGAAGAGGGGCAACUGGGACAGAAUCCGGUGCCCCGACCGGGACUAGAACCUGAUGUGCCAGCGCUGCAGGCAGAGGAUUAGCCUAUUGAGCCACUGCGCCAGCCUGUAGUAUAUCUUAAAAUAUGGUAUUGUGAUGCCUAGGGAUCUGUUUUUGUUGUAUGAUAGCUUUAGCUAUUCAGAGUUUCCUGUGUUUCCAUAUGAAUUUCAACAUCAUUUUUUCUACAUCUGAGAAGAUUGUCUUUCAUAUUUUGAUUUGUAUUACAUUGAAUCUGUAAAUUGCUUUCAGAAGAACAUUUUGAUGAUAUUGAUUCUUCCAAUCUAUAAGCAUGGAAGUUUUACCAAUUUGCAGUAUCUUUCUCUAUUUCUUUCUUUAAUGUUUUGUAAUUCUCAUUGUAGAGAUCUUGGAUCCUUGGUUUAACUUAUUCCCAGGUAUUUGAUUUAUUUUUGUAGCUAUUGUGAAUGGGAUUGAUAUUAGAAGCUCUUUCUCAGCUGUAGCCUUGUCUACAUAUACAAAGGCUCUUGGUUUAUGUGUGUUGAUUUUGUAUCUGGCUACAUUUCCAAACUCUUCUAUGAGUUCCAAUAAUUGCUUAGUGGAGUCUUUUGGAUUCCCUGUGUAUAGUAUCAUGUCAUCUGCAAAUAGGGAUAGUUUGACUUCCUCUUUCCUAAUUUUUACCCUUUUGAUUUUUAUUUUCUUGUCCAGUGGCUCUGGCUAGAACUUCUAGGACUAUAUUGAAAAGCAGUGAUGAGAGUGGGCAUCCUUGUCUGGUUCCAGAUUCCAGUGGAAAUGCUUCCAACAUUUCCCUGUCCAAUAGGAUCCUGCCUGUGGGUUUGUCAUAAAUUGCCUUGAUUGUGUUGAGAAAUGUUCCUUCUAUACUCAAUUUGCUUAAAGUUUUUAUCAUGCAAGGAUGUAUUUUGUCAAAUGCUUUCUCUGCAUCUGUUGAGAUAUCAUCCACUUUUUGUUCUUCAAUUUAACGUGAUGUAUCACAUUGAAUGAUUUGUGAAUGUUGAACCAUCCCUUUGUACCAGAAAUAAAUCCCACUUGGUCUGGGUGGAUGAUCUCUCUGAUGUGUUGUUGUGUUUGAUUGUCUAGUGUUUUGUUGAGGAUUUUUACAUCUAUAUUCAUCAUUAGAUUGGUUUCUAGUUCUCUUUCUCUGUUGUAUAUUUUUCAGGUUUAGGAAUUAAGGUGAUGCUGGCUUCAUAGAAAGAAUUUGGGAGGAUUCCCUCCCUUUUGAUUGCUUUGAAUAGCUUGAAAAGAAUUGGAGUUAGUUCUUUAAAUGUUUGGUGGAAUUCAGUUGUGAAGCCAUCUGGUCCUGGGCUUUUCUUUGUUGGGAGGGUCUUUACUACUGAUUCAAGUUCUGUCUUGGUUAUUUGUCUGUCUAAGUUUCCUACGUCUUCAUGACUCAAUUUAGGUAGGUUGUAUCUGCCCAAGAAUUUAUCCAUUUCUUCUAGGUUUCCCAUUUUGUAGGCAUGCAGUUCUUUAUAACAAUUUCUGAUGAUUCUUUUUAUUUCUGUGGUGUCUGCUGUUACAUUUCCUUUUUCAUAUCUCUUUUUAUUAAUUUAGGUCUUCUCCUUUUUUUGGUUGGUUGGGCCAAUGGUGUGUCAAUUCUGUUUACUUUUUCAAAAAACCAGCUCUUCGUUUUGUUGAUCUCGUGUCUUAUGUAUUAUUUUACUGGUUUUGAUUUUGUUAGUUUCUUCUCUAAUUUUAAAUAUUUAUUUUCUCCUACUAGAUUUGGUUUGCUGUUGUUUUUUCUAGGUCUUUGAGGUGCAUUGAUAGCUCAUUUAUUUGGUGCCAUUCCAGUUUGUUGAUGUAGGCUCCGAUUGCUAUAAACUCUCCUCUUAACACUGCUUUUGCUGUAUCUCAUAAAUUUUGAUAUGUUGAAUUGUCAACUUUCUUUGUUUCCAAAAAUCUUUUGAUUUCUUUGAUGACCCAUUUUUCAUUCAGGAGCAUAUUGUUCAGUCUCAAUGUGUUUGCAUAUGUUCUGGGGAUCCCUGAAUUGUUGAUUACCAACUUCAUUCCACUGUGGUCUAGAAUAACCAUGGUAUGAUUUUUAUUUUUUUUGAAUUUGCUUUAAGUUGCCUUAUGGUCUAGCAUGUGGUCAAUCCUAGAGAAAAGUUCCAUGCACUGGUGAGAAAAAUGUGUAUUCUUUGGCUGUAGGGUGGAAAGCUCUGUAGAUAUCUGAUAGGUCCAUUUGGUCUAUAGUGUCAAUUAAGUCUGUUGUUUUCUUGUUGAUUUUUUGUCUGGUUGAUCUGUCCCCUAUUACUAUUGUUUUUGAGUCUAUGUUUCCCUUUAAGCCCAUUAACUAUCCUUUUUUAAAAAAGACUUAUUUAUUUAUUCGAAAGUCAGAGUUACACAGAGAGAGGAGAGUUAGAGAGAGAGAAAGAAAGGUCUUCCAUAGGAUGGCUCUCUCCCCAGUUGGCUGCAAUGGCCGGAGCUGUGCCAAUCCAAAGUCAGGAGCCAGGAGCUUCUUCUGGGUCUCCCACACAGGUGCAGGAGCCUAAGGACUUGGGCCAUCCUCUACUACUUUCCCAGGCCACAGCAGAGAGCUAGAUGGGAAAUGGAGCAGCUGGGUCUCGAACCAGUGCCCAUAAGGAAUGCUGGCACUUCAGGCCAGGGCAUUAACCUACUGUGCCACAGUGCUAGACCUUAUUAACUAUUCUUUCAAAUAGCCAGGUACCUGUAAUUAGAUGUAUAUACAUUUAUAAUAGUAACUUUUUCCUGUUGAAUUGCUCCAUUAAUCAUUAUAUAGUGCUCUUCUUUAUCUCUUGGAAUAGUUUUUGUGUUAAAGUCUAUUUUGCCCAAUAUUAGGAUGGCUACACCAGCUCUUUUUUGGUUUCUGUUAACAUGGAUUAUCUUUUCCCUCCUUUCACUUUCAGUCCUUGUGCAGCUUUGUUGGUGAUGUGUGUUUCUUUUAGGCAGCAAAUAAAUGGACUUUCUUUUUUUAAUCCACUCAGCAAAUCUGUGUCUUUUAACUGGAGAGUUCAGACCAUUUACUUUCAGGGUGACUAUUUUUCAGUAAUGACUUUGCCCUUCCAUAUUUCCCUUAAUAGUCCUAUUUUUUUUUUUUACUUUGGGUUACCUUUGUAUUUUUAUGGGGUAAUUUUCUGGCUUCACCUCUUUUCAUUGUGAUGACCAUGUUUAUGUGUGUAGCACAUACUUGAGCAUUUUUUGUAGGGCUGCAUGGGUGGUUACACAUUCUUUCAAUUUCUGUUUGUUAUUGAAGAUCUUUAUUUCACUUUUGUUUAUAAAUGAGAGCUUUGCAGAUAUAGUAUUCACAUUCUGAAUGUGAUCUGGCAUUUCUCUCAUGUACAUUUUAGAAUCUUUUCUUUAUGUUUUACUGUGGAGAGUUUGACUACAAUGUGUCAUGUUGAAGAUCUUUUCUGAUCAUGUCUAUUGGGAGUUCUAUGUGCUUCCUGUACUUGGAUAUCCUUUUCUUUCUCCAAAUUGGGGAAGUUUUCUGUUAUUCUUUCAUUAAGAAGACCUUCUAAUCUUUUCUCUAUUUCUACACCUUCAGGAAUUCCCAGCACCUGUAUGUUGAAUCAUUUGAUAGCAUCUUAUGGAUCUCCAACAGUGGCUUUUAGUUUUCUAACUUCUUCUUUUUUGGGGGUGAGGAGGUCUGACUGUAAAAUUUCCUGAAAUUGUCUUCUAGUUCUGAUAUUCUUUCUUCUGUCUCAUCUACUCUGUGGCUAAGACUUUCCACUGCAUUUUUAUUUGAACUAUAGAGUUCUUCAUUUCUAGUAUUUCAUUCUGAUUUCUCUUUAAUAUCUCAGUUUUGUCGGAAAAAAUUCCAUUUAGUUUGUGAAUUUGCUUUUGGUUGCUUCUAAGUAGUCUGAUGAUUAAUUUUCUGAAUUCUGUUCCUGGGAUAUAUUCAAUCUCUUCAUCUUCAUCUUCUGCUAUUGAAGUGUUGCAGGGUUACGUUAGGGGACUCAUAGUAUCUUUCUUAUCCUUAUUUAAGUUUUUUCCUUUGAUUUUGGGCAUUUGUGUGGCUUAGUGGGAUGUCUAUAUUCAAUGAGUACCAGGAGUCAUGUGGUGGGUGUGGCCUGGUUGCUUUUUUCAGUAUUCCAGAAUAGAGCAGGUAUCCAAAGUAAGGCCCCUGUGGAGCUUUGUAGCUCUCCUCUGGAUGUCUGUAGAGGAGAGUGUUUACCUCUGUUGGUGUGACCAGCCCUUCUCAUCGUAGCUGCAGGAUGCCCUGGUGUGAGUCUACAGCUCUGAAAAUCCGUGAAUUCCCCUCCCCUUCUUACCUGGUCUGCUGGGUCCUCCAUUCUCCUCUCCAGGUUGGAGCUUCCACCAUUCCCCCUCUCCUGUUCUUUUUUUUUUUUUUAUUUGCUCUUUUGGCAUGGACAUGGACAAUCUCUACUGUUCUCGCUGGAUUUUCUGCUGUGAAUUCUCCAUGGCUUUGUCUGAGGCAUGUAGUUUCAACCCUUAUUAAACAAUAAUUUUGCCUGGUGUGAUUUGGACAAUCCUGUUGCCAUUCCACCAUUUUGAAAUCCCCUGUUAGCUUUCCAAAGUAUUCUUAUUCCAAACUCUUAAUUCAAUUUGUGUAAUACUUUCAUACUUUGGGAAAAUACUGAAAGCUAAUAAGACAUUUGGAAAAACUAAACCACAACUCUAUGGACAUAGGAAAUGGAGAGAGAAAUGCAAAGAAAAACAUUAACAGAACACAUUGAGCUUGGUUAAAUGGAUAUUAUGUAUUCAUUUUUUCUUUCUGGCUCCUAAUUUUUGUAUUUUUGCGUGUAUUCAUUUUUGUGGUCUGUCCUGAGAAAGCCCAGUACUGAUGGAACAGAGCUGUUAGAGCCAAAUGCUUGCAGUUGAGAAUUUUGAUUCUACUUGUGUAUGGAUAAGGGUCAGGUACUAAGCAUGAACACAAAGAAGCGUCUUCAAACCAGGAAAGACCAAAGACUUGCUGUUCUCCAAAUAUGGUGCAGAGCCCCUGGGGGAUUCAAGUGACCAGAAAGUCUGAAUCAGAAGCCUUAAAACAGCAAGACCAAAAAAAAAAAAAAAAAAAAAAAAAGGAGGAAAGAAAGAAAGAAAAGAAAAAAGUUAUUCACAAUCAUCUAAAAAUAUGCAAGAAAGAAAUAGCACACCACAGCCCACAGCUCUACCAAAUCGAGGCAUAAAGUCAGGCCAAGGAGUUGAACAGCUUGAGCGCACACAUCACCACCGUGAGUGACACAAAGGAAAAGGCAAGGGCAGCAAAUGUACACUCCAACCCCAACUUCCACAGGUGGAAACAUCUGUUCAGAUUGUGGCCGCACCUGCUGCCUGUGUAGAACAUGGAGAGAUGUCUCAGUUGGGGAGAAAGGCUUAUCAGAGUCACCUACUCUGUACAGCUUCCUGACGGUCUUGCUAGCUGUGUCCAUUUCAGUACUGGAAAUUUUGUGAAAGAGCCACUCCGCUUGUUUAGAUGAAAAAUGAAGCACAACUUUUACUUUGAAAGGCAGUCGGAUUUCUUUCAGACUCUUUUCCCUGAAUAGAAACCUCGUUCUUCAAACAACAACAUUGACUGCACUGAAUUAAAGACGCAGUAUCAAGGAGACAAGAUGGCAUUUUGUUCUCAUAAAGUGAUGGACAAAUCACACGGAUAAUCUAUUAGGAUGAUGGAUGGUAUACAUUUUAAUAUGAAACAUCAACUGUAAAAGUAAGUGUAAAGGCCGAAAAUUCUUGAGAGGGUGACAACUCUUCACAUGAGUACACUAGCAAGCCACCCCCUCAGACUUGGAGAAUAUGCAGAUUUUAAGUCGAUUCCCUAAAAUGGGAGGGCUGAAGUCUUCACAGGGGUGCACAGAAGACCGGUACACCAAAAACUUCAUCUUUGUGGGACAGAUCUUUUUCCAGACUGCAAGUGGGUAUGAAAUUAUAUCCAGAUUCAAUGUAAAAAGUCACAGAUGCAAUGAAAAAAAUCCAGUUUGGCUUCAGUAUUCAAAAUAAAUUCAUUUGAUGAGUGUGUUCUGCAUUUUAGAACAUAAAUCUGUCUCAUAGAUAAAAUGUGGCUGGCAAGGCUGAUGAGGAUUCAGCAUGGAGAAUGAGGGAUGCAUGGUUUUGGCGAUCUUAUCCUUGCAAUUCCUUCCCCAGUGAGUCUCGGCAAGAGAUGACCUCCACCUGGAACAGACAUCGCCCAUUUGCCCAUGUGCCAGAGCCAGAAUUUCACGUCUAGGGCUACGGCUACAUUUGGUAAACAGGUUAGGGUCAGUUGCAUUAAAUAAAUGUUUUUCUUGCUUUUGAAAGCCAAUGUUUUGGAAACCAAAGGAAAUAAUUAUGUCCUACUUAAGGGAGGUUUAUUUUAAAGCCUAGCUAGGGCCCCACAGUGCCACUGCUUCCAUUUUUCAGAAUUGAUUUUCCACCACAUACACCAUUACUGUGAAGUU